AUCGCAAUGGAAGGCUACCCCUCGCUCUCUGACUGCCCCAGGAAGAGACUGAAGAGCAGAGAGUUCCAGGGCCCGAAACAGGAGGUGGUGCGGAGCUCAGCAGCGGGAAUCCGAUGCCCUGGGACUUGAAAGGGAGGGACGGCAGCAUCGCCACCGUGGAGGACCCGCUUACAAAAAAAGAAAAAAAAGAGAGAACCUCAUAUUUCCUAUCCAGCUUUCUCAUUACAGUUUACAUUUCCGCACGCUGCCUCCUUGCAAACACAAAUAUCCCAAGCAGCCGACAGCUACUUCCAGUAAGUAAAAUACAAAAUUAUAGGUUAGACACCAAUGCCAAGGAAUAGCCCCAGGGGUUGCUCAGCCCGCAGCUAGGGGUGACUGCAUAGUUCUAAAGCCGACACUCCCUAAACCUGAAUAUGCAGUCCUAAAAGGGCGGAGAUAACCAAAAUAAGGGCAGGGCCCUAAGAACCAACGCCCUGGCAAGCCUCCGGAAGGCGGAGCUUGAAGUGUAAGACACUCGCGAUCUCCAAAGCAGAUCUGGAGGCAUCCUCUAACUGGAGGAACUGAGAAAGGAGACUAAACAGACCAUGGCAUAAAUGAAACUUCGCUCCACACUUCAGAGAAAAAAUAAAAAAUUCCAAAGUUGGGGACAAAAGUAAUAACAGCUAUAUUUCCUCCUCCUUGGCGAGCGAGUGUUAAUGACAGUCCCUAGUCCCUCUCUGUGUAGGUAAUACAGCCUUGACACAGAGAGACAAAGUGCCUGAGAUAUCUCGGUUGCUUUUAUUUAUUCAGUAAAUAGGACGAACUGACACUGGCCUUGCUUGGAGGGCGCUCUUGGAGCGCUAGGAGAGGAGGGGGCGGGACUAGUUUUCCCGCUCUCUUCCGCAAAAGGGCUACUCCCCCUAGAGAGCCCAGUGGGUAAGCAAGGGCCAGGCCCCAGGUAAUUCACUCCUAAGUCCUAGCUUGUCUUCCCUCGGCAAUCAAGCGGAGACGUCAAGAAAUGAGUGCGGGCAACAGGUGGGCCUGACUCCAAGCCGCAAGGACAAGCAGCGAACUGUGAACUCCAUGAAUAGCCGACAGUUGGGGGCAGUCUCGCCGAGAGCCAAGCCUUGCUCCAGGAAGGAACUCAAAAAAUAAGUCACACCGACGAAACAGAGGAGACCCCCAUGCCAAACCUCUAGAGAUUACGAGAAAGCAGCAUUUAUGCAGAACUGGCCGUGGGCUAAUUUAACUCUGCGCCGUCCCCUGCUCCCUAGACUGGGUGGCACACGGUGCUCCCACAUGGACAUCAAAAACCACUUGGAACCCAAGCCGAAUUGGGCCGCCCUCGACUCCUCUGUCAAGAGGGGGUGAGCUGCGCGGGGUCUUGCCUAAGGUGUCCAGGCCAAUCCUAGGUUGCUCAGAGUUUUAAUAAAGCCAAAUAAGGUCAGCAGCUGCUUUGCGCUGA
ensembl:lncRNA